rnacentral:lncRNA from 1 species
AUCAAUUUUUGAAAACAAAUUUUAAAUACAUUUUUCAAUUUCACUAAAUUUUAAUCUUUCCAAAGCAGUUCUGAACUUGAUGAUCAAGUUAUUGUGGGCGCAGUAUCGAUAUGUAAAGAAUAGUUUAUAGCAAAUAAAAAGCGAAAUAAUACAAUCAAUCGUGAGUAGUCACCGUUGAUAUUGCCAGAUGGUGAAAAAUUAAAGCGAAACAUUUGAAUUUUCAAGACACUAAUUUAUACGACCCUUGUUCUCUGAAAAUCUAUGCCCUGUGAGAUUCCCGAAUGCGUCCUAGAACAGCCAAAAAUGGAUACAGUUGGGAUAUAAUUUAAAUUUUUUCUGAUAUCUUAAUAUUCUUGAAUUCAUAUAGAAUCCUGGUUGAAAGUGGCAGCUGUACUCUUACCAUCUUUUACCAAAAUCUAAACCUUUAUUGCAAAAACGAAUAUUCAUCGAAAUUAUGAACUCAAAUUUUUCUUUUCCAAUAUGGUGAAGUAUUUAAAUUUUGCCUAUUCCCACCUAGCUUCCAACUGGAUGGGAUUUUUAAGAGUACAAAUUGUGACCAAAGAUAAAAUGAACAGUAUAUUAUUGAAUAGUAUACUAUACAGGGUAUCCCAGAAAGAAUGGAUAAGCUUGAAACACCUCAUAGUAGAGCUAUUGGGCGCUCAAAAUAAAAUAUUUCCCAGGCGGU